rnacentral:sRNA from 1 species
GAGGUACUUCAACUACACCCCGACCCGA